GAUGAACGCUAGCGACAGGCUUAACACAUGCAAGUCGAGGGGCAGCGGGGGAGUCAGCUUGCUGACUUUUGUCCGGCGACCGGCGCACGGGUGAGUAACACGUAUGCAACCUGCCCGCCACAGGGGGAUAACCGGGAGAAAUCCCGACUAAUACCGCGUAGACCGCGAGGGGGCAUCCCGACGCGGGGAAAGGACAUGGUCCGGUGGCGGAUGGGCAUGCGGCGCAUUAGCUAGUUGGCGGGGCAACGGCCCACCAAGGCGACGAUGCGUAGGGGUUCUGAGAGGAAGGUCCCCCCACAUUGGUACUGAGACACGGACCAAACUCCUACGGGAGGCAGCAGUGAGGAAUAUUGGGUCAAUGGGCGAGAGCCUGAACCAGCCAAGUCGCGUGAGGGAGGAGGGUCCUACGGAUUGUAAACCUCUUUUGCCGGGGAGCAAAGGGGCCAUUGAUGGGCAGGGAUGAGCGUACCCCGGGAGAAAAAAGCAUCGGGCUAAACUCCGUGCCAGCCGCCGCCGUAAAU
rnacentral:rRNA from 1 species